GAGGGUAUAGCUCAAUUGGACAGAGCUCAUGCGCAAUCGUAAGUAGGAGUAGCUAACCGAACACACGAUGACCCAAGUUCGAUUCUUGGUACCUUCACCA
rnacentral:tRNA from 1 species